AGAUUACAACAGAAUUCAGAAACAAAGUUACAGAAGAUAGAAUUAAAAUAAUAAUGUCAGAGUCAAAAAAACAAAUGGCAGUGUUACUACUCUUUAGAAUAGAGUAACAACAGUCGGCACAAGGCAAAGUUGCUAAGGGGAAUGGAGAGGUGAGAUCUGCAUAGAUGCCCACUGGCAGAUGUUUUAACUGAAACAAAUUUUGGUAAAGAUCUUCCACCGAACAAUGUGUCAGCAUUUCUGGCCCUCAACCUACACUGAGUCUCAAGGACCAUGCUGAUUACUCCCAAACUCAGAAUGGAAGCGGAUGAGCAUUUGUAAACACAACGUGUCACAAACCUCACGGACGUCAUUCUCCUUCAUGACGUGUCUUGUAAUGUAGCGGAUGGAAUCAAGCGCAGCUUCCAAUGUGUUUCUAGAAGACUCUGGUCUACCACCGCCCUCAGUUUCCUCUUUCUGAGCGAAGUACCUGUCUACGUGACUCCUCAUGCACAGCAGUUUGGGAAGCUUGUGGAGAAAUACCUUGCGGACCCAAGGUGCCAUUGCAUCGUGUGUUGAGGAAGAACGAUGAUGGAUAUUGAUAGCGAAGACAGUCACCAUGAUUGACAGCGUCACAAAAAUCAUGGUGAACACCAGAUACUCUCCAAUCAGAGGUAUUACUUUGGAAGACGAGGGUAUGAUCUCUUCAAUAACCAGAAGGAAGACAGUCAGAGAGACCAGGACUGACGUGCAGAGACUGAGCUUCUCACCUUCGUUUGAGGGGAGAUAGAAGACAAGCACGGUUAAAAACGAGAGCCCGAUACAGGGUAUAAUAAGGAACAAGGUGUAAAAGAGAGGCAGACGCUUAAUUACAAAUGAGUAGGUGACAUAAGGGUACCAGCAGGAGCCAUCCGUUCUGUUUCCUUUGCUUCCCGUUGCACUCAUAAUCUCCCAUUCUCCAUUGUCAAAAAAAUCUCUCUUGUCCACGUCUUGGUCCUCUAAAAUUAUAUCAACCUGUGAUCCAUCGUAAGUCCAAGAACCAAAUUUCAUGGAGCAGUUUUGGAGAUCGAAUGGGAAAAACGUGACAUCUAUGGUGCAAGAACUUUUGUAGUUUGCCGGUGGAGUCCAGGUGACAGUGCCAUCAUACCUGAUGACCGCUUUCGUGCUGGCCCCUUCAAAACGUCCAUCUGCACUGAAAUAAACACAUGCACGUAACAAUACAGAGACUACACAACGCAGGCCUUCACAAGCCUGAGAUGAGAGAAAGUCGACACCAUGGCAUGAGAUACUUUUUAAACUAUUAUGCUUGAGAUAUACCUGCUAUGUGUAGGGGACUCUGUUUUAGGGACAUCUUAUGUAAAUAUCCGACUUUACUAGAACUGAACUCCUUCCACAUCUACUCCAGGACUGAUAGUCGAUCUCUAUUUCACAGAAUCCUGAGAUUUUAGAGGCUGAAAGAUUUCCCUUUACAUACAAAAUAUAAUUAGGCUACUGAAACAAUAAAAUAUUGGCCAGAACCCGAAUCCACAUUUCUAGGCUCUCCACACAGUGCUCUUCUCCUCCAUCACAAAUACUGGACAGUUACUACAGGGGCAGGAAGGAACAUUAGCUCUAAGCUGUGCCU
rnacentral:lncRNA from 1 species